GACAGAGGGUGCAAACGUUGCUCGGAAUCACUGGGCGUAAAGGGCGCGUAGGCGGGAAUGUAAGUCGGGCGUGAAAUCCCCAGGCUCAACCUGGGAACUGCACUCGAAACUGCGUUUCUUGAGUAUCGGAGAGGAAAGCGGAAUUCCUGGUGUAGAGGUGAAGUUCGUAGAUAUCAGGAGGAACACCAGUGGCGAAGGCGGCUUUCUGGACGGUAACUGGACG
rnacentral:rRNA from 1 species